UACGGAGGGGGUUAGCGUUGUUCGGAAUUACUGGGCGUAAAGCGCGCGUAGGCGGAUUAGAAAGUUGGGGGUGAAAUCCCGGGGCUCAACCCCGGAACUGCCUCCAAAACUACUAGUCUAGAGUUCGAGAGAGGUGAGUGGAAUUCCGAGUGUAGAGGUGAAAUUCGUAGAUAUUCGGAGGAACACCAGUGGCGAAGGCGGCUCACUGGCUCGAUACUGACGCUGAGGUGCGGAAGCGUGGGGAGCAAACAGC
rnacentral:rRNA from 1 species